rnacentral:pre_miRNA from 1 species
AUCCAAAUCCAUCCUUGGGUCACUGAGUUCGUUUGGUGGGUAGAAGUGUGUCCAAUUCUCUAGCACCAUUUGAAUUCAGUUCAUCCAAAGAGUUCG